rnacentral:lncRNA from 1 species
UAUUUAUCUUGAUUGUUGAUUUUAGUUUAGUUAUGUGAUUUAAUAGAUACGAAACUAAAAGAGUUAAAAAUCAUACUUUACAUGCAUAUAGGCUAUAUCGAAAAUUUUGAAAUUAUGUUUUUCUCUAAUGCAACUGAGAUUUAGGACUCAAAUAUAAGAUUUGAGUCUAAACAUGAGUUUAAUCAUUUCCAUUACACCGGAGACUUACAACUUAUAUUUAAGUUUCCGAUCAAAUGAGACCCAAAUUUGAGAGAGAAUAUAUGAUUUGAGUCCAAUGGAGCCCAAGCUAAUAAGGAAAAUGUUAUUCAUAAAAAAAUAAAAAUAAAAAUUUGUGUUUUAAGUUCAAUCAUCUUCAAUACACAUGCUCAAGUAAUCAAAUUAAACUCCAAUGCUUUCCCCUCUAAUGUAAAAAAUUCAAAUCCGAAAUUUCAAAGUACAAUAAUAUAUGUCUAAGAAUAUAAGUCCUUGCAUCGGACAAAAGAAUUAAAAACUUCAAAAUAUAAGAAAAUAGGUUUAGAAUUUGAAUCUUUGCAUUAGAGAUGCUUUUAAAGCCUCAAAAAUAUUUCGACCAAGCUAUUUGUUAAAAACUUUGUUUCUUUACCCUCCCUUAAAGACUAAAACUAACCUCAUAAUUUUCUUUGCCUAGUUUCCAUUGCUUGAGACUCCCUAGAAGACAACUUGAGCCCAACCCUCUAGUAAAUAUUGUUCAAAAAAAAGAAAC